UUUGUUGUUUCAACUGUCAAGCGUCUGACAUCAGUAACGUGUGCGUGCGUGUGUCAGUGUCAUUAAAUGAUAUAAAUUUUAAAAUGGUUAACAUUUAAAAUAUACACACACAUUCACUUCAAAUUAGGGUCUCAGAAUUGUAAUUUCAUUGACCACGCCAGUGGGUUCAACAUUAGAUGUUUAUUUGAAUUUAUCACAGAUAACAUUAAUAUACGUUUGAAAAAAGUUUAAUUUUGAAUUAGGUUAGGUCCAUCAUUUUAUUGGCUUACGACACUCACGUGGUCCAAGAUCAGCGCAUGCGCGAGAACCGGAACGCGCAACGUGGAAAUGACGUUGGCGGCUUGGCGCCACAAUUGACUGCAUUCGAACUUCAAGCUGUCGGCAGUAAUCAGCACCAUCGGUUUCACGGUGGCUGGCUGCAAAAUGAUUUGGCAGUAAAGAGGAUGCAGACAGCAUUUGACCUGCGGUGACAGACCAUAGUGAAGACAUGCCCACCAGUGAAAAACCUCAUGGAACUCUGGCCUGCACUCAAAUAGAGUCUGAGGUGUAUUUAGACUUCCAACGAAUUACAAUACAGAACCUGCCCAACAUAUUCUGCUCUGAGCUUGACCGACAUCAAGACAUCAAAUGCUUUGACUGAAAUCCUAAGAAUCUACGAUUAACAGGAGGUACGUGACAUACACACCAAGUGUAUCACUGCUCUUCAUCUCCUUCCAGUCUAUCAACAUGAGGACGUCUCAGGGUUCUUUAGGACCUGCACAGACACAUCUGAUGAGCCAGAGCUUUAAGAUGUUGUAAAGGCCCUCCUUACAGUCAUCAUAGAUGACGACACAAGUCCAGUUCACUUCCAGCCUGAGAAAAUCUGUCAUCGUUGAAAGCGAGAUUUGGUCAACCUCUGCAGAUUUACUGAUGCCUUUCUGGUAAUGUUUGGACUGAUCUAUGCACUACACCUUAGCUAUCCCAGGCGACUGACAACACACUUGAAUUCAGUCAAAUGUUACUUUGCCUUGAUGAUGGAAAAGUGUCAUCCAAGUAACAGAGUCUCAAAAAGGACUUGAUGUGUAUGUAGAAAUGUAUCUAAAAAUGUGUUUUCUUCACAAUAUGCAUAAUGUGCCUUUGUAUUUUCAAACGGUAUUUGUGACUUGAAUUGAUGUCUGUGUUGGUCUUUUAAAUUGACACUGCCAUUUUAAAUGGAAAGGGCAAAAAUUUUGUGAAACACAAUGUAAUUCAAACUGUUUAAGUUGUCUGUACUCAAAAUAUUUGAGGCAACGAGUUGCCUCAAAAAAAUUAAGUUUUGAGCCAUGUGAUUUUGAGUUUUGCGUGUCAAAGGUUUUGAGUAAUGUGUAAUUAAAAAAAAACUGAACAAAAAUAAAAACAUUGAGUUUACAUAACUUAAAAGUGCUUCUUUGUGUACUUAUUUUUUUUUAGUGAUGUUAACUUAAUGCCAUUAGUCAAUGUAACUGAAAAUUAUUGAGUAGACUUUAAUAAGAACUUUUAAUUUAAUUAUAAUCAAAAGGUUUAUGUUACAAGUAAUCAAAAUAUUUAACCUCUAAAAUAAAUUGUGUUUUAAGUUCAUGAACUUAAAAAAUUUGAGGCAACGAGUUGCCUUAAUUUUUUUGAGUUCUGCUUACUAAUUUGGGUUUACAGUGUACAUAUAUGCUUUAGUGUGCUUCUGAUACAUACUAAAUCUGAUACUUAUAUUUUCGUAUGAAAAUGAGUUCCGAGUAGAUAUCACUUUAUCUUGUUUUUAUCUCUUUCUUACCUUCAUUUCUUUUGUACAGAAAAUUCCUUUUCUAUCUCCAUUUAUAAGACGUUUAUUCUUUGCUGUCUUUCUCUUUCUUUGUUUAUAUAUUUGUAAGUAUUGGGUUCAUAGAACUGGGUCAAUCACUAAAAAAUGUUUUUUCUCCUUUUCUAUAAUGUACAUUUUAGUGCUGCAACUCACAGCACUUCGAAAUACCUCAUUUUGAAAAAUAAAUAGA